GUGAUUCCUUCUAUUCUUGUUGCCCAUCCCUGGAGGGAAGUGUCAUCUCCUGCAGCUCAAGGAUGGGUUGCUUCUCACUUGGUGAUAAAACAGAGAAGGUGACCAGUAGAGUCAAGAAUAAAGAGCUGUAUGGUGGCCCUUUGACACCCCGGGCUGAUGCAGGUUAAAAGGAAUCUGGCAUGGAGUUCUAGAGCCACCAAGUCCUGCACAAGUCCAAGGGCCAAAUCCAGACCAGUUUUUUUAAAAAAGAAUGUGGCCCAGAGAUAAGUGAAGGUCAGCUUCACUCUAGAAGAGUCAGAGAGAGGGGGAAACCCGCAGCCCUAGAACGUCUGUCUUGGAAUGCAGUAGCCACAAAGAGAACUGCUUGAAGUACGAGAACCAAAUCUCAGCCAUCUCAAGGGGCAGAAAGACAACUAAGACCAGAAGCUUUCUGAGGGUGCAUCUCCAGUCUUUUGCAAAACAUGCCUCCAAAGACAAAAGCUAUGAUUGAUUUCAGUCACAUUGUCA
rnacentral:lncRNA from 1 species